GGGGCCUGAGUCUAGGCACCCAGAGAAUCAAGGGCUAAGAAGAGAGGUUCACCCGAGCAGAGGCAAGAGUCAACUCUGAAGUGAUUGACUUUCUUUGUUCCCUCCCCGACCCCUUAAAGCCUACUGGCUGGACAUGAGAUGGAAAACAGGGUGGGCAAGAGUCCUACGUUAUGGUCCAGGAAGCUUCCACUGUCUGGUAAUAAACAACACAACAACCAGCGUGAUUUCUCAGAACUGGAGGUCUCUGCUCAAGCUUACAUAUUUGUGACAUCUAAGCCCAACAGGUGCUGCAGUGGCGGGGGGGGUGGUUAUGAAACCUUUGGGACAUGGCACCAAAUGGUCCCUAACUGCUAGACACGGGCCACUGUGGAUGGGCCUUCGAGGGUUUAGCCUGGUUCCUAAAUCAAUACAGACUCUUGCCACUG